rnacentral:rRNA from 1 species
CAGUCGCCACGGUAAUACGAAGGGUGCAAGCGUUAAUCGGAAUUACUGGGCGUAAAGCGUGCGUAGGCGGUGAGUUAAGUCUGUUGUGAAAUCCCCGGGCUCAACCUGGGAAUGGCAAUGGAUACUGGCAAGCUAGAGUGUGUCAGAGGAUGGUGGAAUUCCCGGUGUAGCGGUGAAAUGCGUAGAGAUCGGGAGGAACAUCAGUGGCGAAGGCGGCCAUCUGGGACAACACUGACGCUGAGGCACGAAAGCGUGGGGAGCAAACAGGAUUAGAUACCCGCGUAGUCCCUGUCUCUUAUAC